rnacentral:hammerhead_ribozyme from 1 species
AUUCACAUGACGAAUCCCAAAUAAAACGAAACGCGCGUUCUGGAU